UGUGUUUGGUGAACUAAUAUCUCAACCCCUUACCCUCAUAUUCACCUGUAGAUUCAUCAGCCCUCUAAAACGCAGCAGAACAGAUAUCAGAUCUUGGGCAGCAAGACAAGAGGAAUCUUGAACUUUCUGCUUCAAUCAGUGCAAAAAUCCUGGAACCAGGAGUAGAAUUGGUGAGAUUUGCUUGGAAUGCUUCUUGGUGACAGACUAAGCAGUCCAUGGUCUCAAGAUCAGAAAGCUGCUUCGUGAUAUUUCAAAG
rnacentral:lncRNA from 1 species